CCUCAAUACUGAGUUCUGUCUCUUACUGUAGGGAGCUGCUAUAUCACUACCAGGGAUUGCUAUACUCAUUAUACUCCCUUGGAUAAUCACUAGCUCUUGUAAGAGCUAUUCCUGUUACGCUCUCCUGGAGGAGAGAUCUUUCUCACAUGGUCCUGGAUGUCAGCAGUUGGUCCAGGGUGGGAGGAAGACGGCGAGACUCCAGUUAAGCUACGGCGGUUG